rnacentral:misc_RNA from 1 species
AAUCUCAAUCCCACCGGGUUUUAUUACCCGGUGCUGGACUUGGACCUGGGCGUCACGCCAAAAGACACUCCCAUGCAAUCGUUGUGUGGGAUGUGGUGUUUGGCCUUCCAUUGUACCUAUAAGGUGUGGUAGGCUAAAGGAAGUGGCUGCUGGCUAUGGUGCUGGUCACAACAAUUGGUGGAUGACACAUGUUGUUCUCAAAGUUGUGGCUUGUACUGAUUUCAGCGCCAUUGGCCCUUUGGACCCAUGGAUCGCAUUGAAUGCUUGCA